rnacentral:rRNA from 1 species
UACGUAGGGUGCAAGCGUUGUCCGGAAUUAUUGGGCGUAAAGCGUCCGCAGGUGGCACUUCAAGUCUGUCGUCAAAGACUGGGGCUUAACCCUGGAAAGGCGGUGGAAACUGAAGCGCUAGAGUGUGGUAGGGGUAGAGGGAAUUCCCGGUGUAGCGGUGAAAUGCGCAGAUAUCGGGAGGAACACCAAUGGCGAAGGCAGCUCGCUGGGACGGUACUGACGCUGAGACGCGAAAGCGUGGGGAGCAAACAGG